AUUGAACGCUGGCGGCAGGCUUAACACAUGCAAGUCGAGCGGAAACGAUGGGAGCUUGCUCCCAGGCGUCGAGCGGCGGACGGGUGAGUAACGCGUAGGAAUCUACCCAGUAGAGGGGGAUAGCCCGAGGAAACUCGGAUUAAUACCGCAUACGCCCUAAGGGGGAAAGGCCGGGAUCUUCGGACCGGUCACUAUUGGAUGAGCCUGCGUGAGAUUAGCUUGUUGGUGGGGUAAUGGCCCACCAAGGCGACGAUCUCUAGCUGGUCUGAGAGGAUGAUCAGCCACACUGGGACUGAGACACGGCCCAGACUCCUACGGGAGGCAGCAGUGGGGAAUAUUGGACAAUGGGCGCAAGCCUGAUCCAGCCAUGCCGCGUGUGUGAAGAAGGCCUUAGGGUUGUAAAGCACUUUCAGUAGGGAGGAAGGCCCUGUAGUUAAUAGCUGCGGGGAUUGACGUUACCUACAGAAGCAGCACCGGCUAACUCCG
rnacentral:rRNA from 1 species